CCUACGGGAGGCAGCAGUGGGGAAUAUUGCGCAAUGGGCGCAAGCCUGACGCAGCGACGCCGCGUGAAGGAUGAAGGUCUUCGGGUCGUAAAGCUCUUUCAGCGGGGAAGAACGGUCACUGUGCUAUUCAGUAGUGAAUUGACGUUACCUGCAGAGGAAGCACCGGCUAACUCCGUGCCCGCAGCCGCGGUAAUACGGAGGGUGCGAGCGUUAAUCGGACUUACUGGGCGUAAAGCGCACGUAGGCGGUAUGUCAAGUCAGGUGUGAAAUCCCCGGGCUCAACCUGGGAACUGCAUUUGAUACUGGCAAGCUGGAGUGUCGUAGAGGAGAGUAGAAUUCCAGGUGUAGCAGUGAAAUGCGUAGAUAUCUGGAGGAACAUCAGUGGCGAAGGCGACCAUCUGGCAGAUAACUGACGCUGAGGAGCGAAAGCGUGGGUAGCAAACAGGAUUAGAUACCCCAGUAGUC
rnacentral:rRNA from 1 species